rnacentral:rRNA from 1 species
UGAGGAAUAUUGGUCAAUGGACGGAAGUCUGAACCAGCCAAGUAGCGUGCAGGAUGACGGCCCUAUGGGUUGUAAACUGCUUUUGUAUGGGGAUAAAGUUAGGGACGUGUCCCUAUUUGCAGGUACCAUACGAAUAAGGACCGGCUAAUUCCGUGCCAGCAGCCGCGGUAAUACGGAAGGUCCGGGCGUUAUCCGGAUUUAUUGGGUUUAAAGGGAGCGUAGGCCGGAGAUUAAGUGUGUUGUGAAAUGUAGACGCUCAACGUCUGACUUGCAGCGCAUACUGGUUUCCUUGAGUACGCACAACGUUGGCGGAAUUCGUCGUGUAGCGGUGAAAUGCUUAGAUAUGACGAAGAACUCCGAUUGCGAAGGCAGCUGACGGGAGCGCAACUGACGCUUAAGCUCGAAGGUGCGGGUAUCGAACAGGAUUAGAUACCCUGGUAGUCCGCACAGUAAACGAUGGAUGCCCGCUGUUGGUACCUGGUAUCAGCGGCUAAGCGAAAGCAUUAAGCAUCCCACCUGGGGAGUACGCCGGCAACGGUG